AUGAUGAAAAUGAUCAUGAAAAUGAUCAAAAUGAUGAUCAAGAUAUAGCGCCUGAUUGUGUUGGGGUUUUCACCCAAGAAAGAAGUCAAAAUACUUAUAAGAGUAACGGAAGAAGGGCGCUGUUCACAGAACCUGUAUCUGGAACAGUUGGGGUUCUGAGAAGAGAUACAGAGACGCUGUCAAAUGAUGUAUCCAAUGAUGACGAAUCUGUGUGUGAUACUUGUGGGCAAGAUGAACCCCCAGAGGAUCUAAUUUAUGGCAAGGCGGUAAAUUGGGUUGGCUGUGAUAAAUGUUGUAAAUGGCAUCAUUGGUAAGUACAAUGUGCAUUAUGUGCGGCCGUGAAAUAAGUAUAAUAUAGUUUUGUAAUUACAGUGAAUACAUGUGAAUUGUCACUUCAUUAGUUCAGCUUGCUCCAAAAUAAGCCUGUUUUCCACAAGGCAGAGCGGAGCGGAGCAUGAAAGCACGCAGACAAUGAAAAAUUCCUCUCCGCGCGUAAAAUUCCGCCCAGUGGAAAACCGGCGGGCUUAAGUGACCCACUACAUGAUGCCCUGCAUUUUUUUCUAUAUUUUACAAAGAAAACAUUUCUAUUUCAUUUUAUAGUGUGUGUGUUGGUAUAAAACGUAAACCAGCUUCAAACAAAGUAUGGUAUUGUAAAUACUGCAUGCCAUGAU